rnacentral:rRNA from 1 species
UACGUAGGGUGCGAGCGUUAAUCGGAAUUACUGGGCGUAAAAGCGUGCGCAGGCGGCGCGUUAAGACAGGUGUGAAAGCCCCGAGCUUAACUUGGGAAUUGCGCUUGUGACUGGCGUGCUGGAGUGUGGCAGAGGGAGGUGGAAUUCCACGUGUAGCAGUGAAAUGCGUAGAGAUGUGGAGGAACACCGAUGGCGAAGGCAGCCUCCUGGGCCAGCACUGACGCUCAUGCACGAAAGCGUGGGGAGCAAACAGG